GUAGGUAACCUGCCUUGUANCGGGGGAGUAACUAUUGGAAACGAUAGCUAAUACCGCAUAACAAUGGAUGACACAUGUCAUUUAUUUNAAAGGGGCAAUUGCUCCACUACAAGAUGGACCUGCGUUGUAUUAGCUAGUAGGUGAGGUAAUGGCUCACCUAGGCGACGAUACAUAGCCGACCUGAGAGGGUGAUCGGCCACACUGGGACUGAGACACGGCCCAGACUCCUACGGGAGGCAGCAUG
rnacentral:rRNA from 1 species